rnacentral:rRNA from 1 species
GGAGUUUCGGAUCGUAAAACUCUGUCCUAAGGGAAGAAACAAAUGACGGUACCUUAGGAGGAAGCCCCGGCUAACUACGUGCCAGCAGCCGCGGUAAUACGGUAGGGGCAAGCGUUAUCCGGAAUCACUGGGCGUAAAGGGGUGCGUAGGCGGCUUAGCAAGCCAGGGGUGAAAGGCAUUGGCUCAACCAAUGUAAGCCUUUGGAACUGUUAAGCUUGAGUGCAGGAGAGGUAAGUGGAAUUCCUAGUGUAGAGGUGAAAUUCGUAGAUAUUAGGAGGAACACCAGUGGCGAAGGCGACUUACUGGACUGUAACUGACGCUGAUGCACGAAAGCGUGGGUAGCGAACAGGAUUAGAUACCCUGGUAG